UUCAGUUUGAAAUCUUCUGGCGGUAUCUGUGGGAGAGAGUUGAAAGGAUGGAGAAAAUAGUGGAAUUACAGAGUGGGAAAAGAUCGCAGCGACAUCUGGUCCGGCAGUCAUGGGAGUGAGGAGACUGCAGGGAAGUGAAGGAUCUGACUACAUAUCAAAGGAGGAAAUCUACAUGGGUGUGACAAAAAUGAAGCAUGAUUAAGGAGCUGCAACAGGAAGUCAAGUUAGGAAGAAAUGGGAGAGUAAGUAAAGCAAUAUGCUCGUGGCAAAUGAAAUGGCUUAAGAAGGAAUUAUCAGAAAUGAAGUUCAGCCUUCCUGGAGCCUGGUGCUGAAGAGAGGAAUAGCGGUGAUCAGAGCAAUAGCAAAGUCAUGGAGAACAUUAUGAUAUCAAGGUGGGUGGUAUGUUAAGGGCCAGAUAAUGAUAUGAUUUCUUCUUUCUUGGGUGUAAAUUUUUUAAUGAGGCUUAAAAUGGUCUUAGAAAUUUCAGGGUAGAUGCCAGGAAAUAACCUAAAGCUAGAGUAAAAUAUGUGCUACAUAAACUGAAAGACCAUUAGAAACAAGUUCUGGGAAAGACUUAGCAUCUCCUCAGAAGGGCCCACCCAGCAUCAUCAUCUAAAAAUAUUAGCUUAGAAAU
rnacentral:lncRNA from 1 species